rnacentral:lncRNA from 1 species
ACUGAUUAAGAAAAAAGACUGACAAAUUGAACUUCAGAUUUACUCUUUCACCAGACCAAUACCAAGACCAGCUCUGCUAGUAAGUUGGGCUGGACAGUGGGAUGCUUAUCCAUGAUGAUGAGUAUCUACUCACAAUGGACCUGCUCAUGUGAGUACAUGCUAACCAACAUAA